rnacentral:rRNA from 1 species
ACGAACGCUGGCGGCAUGCCUAACACCUGCAAGUCGAACGAAGCCUUCGGGCUUAGUGGCGCACGGGUGCGUAACGCGUGGGAAUCUGCCCUUGGGUUCGGAAUAACAGUUAGAAAUGACUGCUAAUACCGGAUGAUGUCUUCGGACCAAAGAUUUAUCGCCCAAGGAUGAGCCCGCGUCGGAUUAGCUAGUUGGUGAGGUAAAGGCUCACCAAGGCGACGAUCCGUAGCUGGUCUGAGAGGAUGAUCAGCCACACUGGGACUGAGACACGGCCCAGACUCCUCGGGAGGGCAGCAAGGGGGAAAUUGGAACAAUGGGGGAAGGCCGAACCCAGCAGGCCCGGGUAGGUAAGGAAGGCCUUAGGUUUGUAAAGCUCUUUUACCCGGGAUGGAAAGAACGGAACGGGGAAAAAAGGCCCCGGCAAACCCCGG